UAGGGCUGGGCUUUUCAUUGACCAUGGGUUGGAAUAGUUCUGUGGGCAUAGUGUGUCUUCGAAGCCACUAUGUUUUCUGCACUUGUGACUAGAGAGCACCUUGAUAGCUCAGUUGGUAGAGCGGUGGACUGUAAGAUGCUCCUUGUGUGAAACGCUAUGAUCCUAAGGUCGCUGGUUCAACUCCAGCCGGAAGCACCUCCUUGUCAUUGGAAAUACCCCCAAGCCUUUUCUUUAUCUGUCAACUCCUCCAAAAUGUAAAAACACAAACAAGAUAACUCUUUCUUAAAUUUUCAACCAUCAAUUUUUUAUUCACCCAGCCUAAAAGUCCUGAUUAUCAGUUCUGGGUCCCUGGCAAUGACUGUUGGGUACAAACUGCAAAGCUUUGUCCGUCAGGUAGGGCUGGGCUUUUCAUUGACCAUGGGUUGGAAUAGUUCUGUGGGCAUAGUGUGUCUUCGAAGCCACUAUGUUUUCUGCACGUGUGACUAGAGAGCACCUUGAUAGCUCAGUUGGUAGAGCGGUGGACUGUAAGAUGCUCCUUGUGUGAAACGCUGUGAUCCUAAGGUCGCUGGUUCAACUCCAGCCGGAAGCACCUCCUUGUCAUUGGAAAUACCCCCAAGCCUUGUCUUUAUCUGUCAACUCCUCCAAAAUGUAAAAACACAAACAAGAUAACUCUUUCUUAAAUUUUCAACCAUCAAUUUUUUAUUCACCCAGCCUAAAAGUCCUGAUUAUCAGUUCUGGGUCCCUGGCAAUGACUGUUGGGUACAAACUGCAAAGCUUUGUUCGUCAGGUAGGGCUGGGCUUUUCAUUGACCAUGGGUUGGAAUAGUUCUGUGGGCAUAGUGUGUCUUCGAAGCCACUAUGUUUUCUGCACUUGUGACUAGAGAGCACCUUGAUAGCUCAGUUGGUAGAGCGGUGGACUGUAAGAUGCUCCUUGUGUGAAACGCUGUGAUCCUAAGGUCGCUGGUUCAACUCCAGCCGGAAGCACCUCCUUGUCAUUGGAAAUACCCCCAAGCCUUGUCUUUAUCUGUCAACUCCUCCAAAAUGUAAAAACACAAACAAGAUAACUCUUUCUUAAAUUUUCAACCAUCAAUUUUUUAUUCACCCAGCCUAAAAGUCCUGAUUAUCAGUUCUGGGUCCCUGGCAAUGACUGUUGGGUACAAACUGCAAAGCUUUGUUCGUCAGGUAGGGCUGGGCUUUUCAUUGACCAUGGGUUGGAAUAGUUCUGUGGGCAUAGUGUGUCUUCGAAGCCACUAUGUUUUCUGCACUUGUGACUAUAGAGCACCUUGAUAGCUCAGUUGGUAGAGCGGUGGACUGUAAGAUGCUCCUUGUGUGAAACGCUGUGAUCCUAAUGUCGCUGGUUCAACUCCAGCCGGAAGCACCUCCUUGUCAUUGUAAAUACCCCCAAGCCUUGUCUUUAUCUGUCAACUCCUCCAAAAUGUAAAAACACAAACAAGAUAACUCUUUCUUAAAUUUUCAACCAUCAAUUUUUUAUUCACCCAGCCUAAAAGUCCUGAUUAUCAGUUCUGGGUCCCUGGCAAUGACUGAUGGGUACAAACUGCAAAGCUUUGUUCGUCAGGUAGGGCUGGGCUUUUCAUUGACCAUGGGUUGGAAUAGUUCUGUGGGCAUAGUGUGUCUUCGAAGCCACUAUGUUUUCUGCACUUGUGACUAGAGAGCACCUUGAUAGCUCAGUUGGUAGAGCAGUGGACUGUAAGAUGCUCCUUGUGUGAAACGCUGUGAUCCUAAGGUCGCUGGUUCAACUCCAGCCGGAAGCACCUCCUUGUCAUUGGAAAUACCCCCAAGCCUUGUCUUUAUCUGUCAACUCCUCCAAAAUGUAAAAACACAAACAAGAUAACUCUUUCUUAAAUUUUCAACCAUCAAUUUUUUAUUCACCCAGCCUAAAAGUCCUGAUUAUCAGUUCUGGGUCCCUGGCAAUGACUGUUGGGUACAAACUGCAAAGCUUUGUUCGUCAGGUAGGGCUGGGCUUUUCAUUGACCAUGGGUUGGAAUAGUUCUGUGGGCAUAGUGUGUCUUCGAAGCCACUAUGUUUUCUGCACUUGUGACUAGAGAGCACCUUGAUAACUCAGUUGGUAGAGCGGUGGACUGUAAGAUGCUCCUUGUGUGAAACGCUGUGAUCCUAAGGUCGCUGGUUCAACUCCAGCCGAAGUACCUCCUCGUCAUUGGAAAUACCCCAAAGCCUUGUCUUUAUCUGUCAACUCCUCCAAAAUGUAAAAACACAAACAAGAUAACUCUUUCUUAAAUUUUCAACCAUCAAUUUUUUAUUCACCCAGCCUAAAAGUCCUGAUGAUCAGUUCUGGGUCCCUGGCAAUGACUGUUGGGUACAAACUGCAAAGCUUUGUUCUGCAGGUAGGGCUGGGCUUUUCAUUGACCAUGGGUUGGAAUAGUUCUGUGGGCAUAGUGUGUCUUCGAAGCCACUAUGUUUUCUGCACUUGUGACUAGAGAGCACCUUGAUAGCUCAGUUGGUAGAGCGGUGGACUGUAAGAUGCUCCUUGUGUGAAACGCUGUGAUCCUAAGGUCGCUGGUUCAACUCCAGCCGGAAGCACCUCCUUGUCAUUGGAAAUACCCCCAAGCCAUGUCUUUAUCUGUCAACUCCUCCAAAAUGUAAAAACACACCAAAAAAAAAUCUUUCUUAAAUUUUCAACCAUCAAUUUUUUAUUCACCCAGCCUAAAAGUCCUGAUUAUCAGUUCUGGGUCCCUGGCAAUGACUGUUGGGUACAAACUGCAAAGCUUUGUUCGUCAGGUAGGGCUGGGCUUUUCAUUGACCAUGGGUUGGAAUAGUUCUGUGGGCAUAGUGUGUCUUCGAAGCCACUAUGUUUUCUGCACUUGUGACUAGAGAGCACCUUGAUAGCUCAGUUGGUAGAGCGGUGGACUGUAAGAUGCUCCUUGUGUGAAACGCUGUGAUCCUAAGGUCGCUGGUUCAACUCCAGCCGGAAGCACCUCCUUGUCAUUGGAAAUACCCCCAAGCCUUGUCUUUAUCUGUCAACUCCUCCAAAAUGUAAAAACACAAACAAGAUAACUCUUUCUUAAAUUUUCAACCAUCAAUUUUUUAUUCACCCAGCCUAAAAGUCCUGAUUAUCAGUUCUGGGUCCCUGGCAAUGACUGAUGGGUACAAACUGCAAAGCUUUGUUCGUCAGGUAGGGCUGGGCUUUUCAUUGACCAUGGGUUGGAAUAGUUCUGUGGGCAAAGUGUGUCUUCGAAGCCACUAUGUUUUCUGCACUUGUGACUAGAGAGCACCUUGAUAGCUCAGUUGGUAGAGCAGUGGACUGUAAGAUGCUCCUUGUGUGAAACGCUGUGAUCCUAAGGUCGCUGGUUCAACUCCAGCCGGAAGCACCUCCUUGUCAUUGGAAAUACCCCCAAGCCUUGUCUUUAUCUGUCAACUCCUCCAAAAUGUAAAAACACAAACAAGAUAACUCUUUCUUAAAUUUUCAACCAUCAAUUUUUUAUUCACCCAGCCUUAAAGUCCUGAUUAUCAGUUCUGGGUCCCUGGCAAUGACUGUUGGGUACAAACUGCAAAGCUUUGUUCGUCAGGUAGGGCUGGGCUUUUCAUUGACCAUGGGUUGGAAUAGUUCUGUGGGCAUAGUGUGUCUUCGAAGCCACUAUGUUUUCUGCACUUGUGACUAGAGAGCACCUUGAUAGCUCAGUUGGUAGAGCGGUGGACUGUAAGAUGCUCCUUGUGUGAAACGCUGUGAUCCUAAGGUCGCUGGUUCAACUCCAGCCGAAGUACCUCCUCGUCAUUGGAAAUACCCCAAAGCCUUGUCUUUAUCUGUCAACUCCUCCAAAAUGUAAAAACACAAACAAGAUAACUCUUUCUUAAAUUUUCAACCAUCAAUUUUUUAUUCACCCAGCCUAAAAGUCCUGAUGAUCAGUUCUGGGUCCCUGGCAAUGACUGUUGGGUACAAACUGCAAAGCUUUGUUCUGCAGGUAGGGCUGGGCUUUUCAUUGACCAUGGGUUGGAAUAGUUCUGUGGGCAUAGUGUGUCUUCGAAGCCACUAUGUUUUCUGCACUUGUGACUAGAGAGCACCUUGAUAGCUCAGUUGGUAGAGCGGUGGACUGUAAGAUGCUCCUUGUGUGAAACGCUGUGAUCCUAAGGUCGCUGGUUCAACUCCAGCCGGAAGCACCUCCUUGUCAUUGGAAAUACCCCCAAGCCUUGUCUUUAUCUGUCAACUCCUCCAAAAUGUAAAAACACACACAAAAAAAAUCUUUCUUAAAUUUUCAACCAUCAAUUUUUUAUUCACCCAGCCUAAAAGUCCUGAUUAUCAGUUCUGGGUCCCUGGCAAUGACUGUAGGGUACACACUGCAAAGCUUUGUUCGUCAGGUAGGGCUGGGCUUUUCAUUGACCAUGGGUUGGAAUAGUUCUGUGGGCAUAGUGUGUCUUCGAAGCCACUAUGUUUUCUGCACUUGUGACUAGAGAGCACCUUGAUAGCUCAGUUGGUAGAGCGGUGGACUGUAAGAUGCUCCUUGUGUGAAACGCUGUGAUCCUAAGGUCGCUGGUUCAACUCCAGCCGGAAGCACCUCCUUGUCAUUGGAAAUACCCCCAAGCCUUGUCUUUAUCUGUCAACUCCUCCAAAAUGUAAAAACACACAAAAAAAAAAUCUUUCUUAAAUUUUCAACCAUCAAUUUUUUAUUCACCCAGCCUAAAAGUCCUGAUUAUCAGUUCUGGGUCCCUGGCAAUGACUGUUGGGUACACACUGCAAAGCUUUGUUCGUCAGGUAGGGCUGGGCUUUUCAUUGACCAUGGGUUGGAAUAGUUCUGUGGGCAUAGUGUGUCUUCGAAGCCACUAUGUUUUCUGCACUUGUGACUAGAGAGCAACUUGAUAGCUCAGUUGGUAGAGCGGUGGACUGUAAGAUGCUCCUUGUGUGAAACGCUGUGAUCCUAAGGUCGCUGGUUAAACUCCGGCUGGAAGCACCUCCUUGUCAUUGGAAAUACCCCCAGGCCUUGUCUUUAUCUGUCAACUCCUCCAAAAUGUAAAAACACAAACAAGAUAACUCUUUCUUAAAUUUUCAACCAUCAAUUUUUUAUUCACCCAGCCUAAAAGUCCUGAUUAUCAGUUCUGGGUCCCUGGCAAUGACUGUUGGGUACAAACUGCAAAGCUUUGUUCGUCAGGUAGGGCUGGGCUUUUCAUUGACCAUGGGUUGGAAUAGUUCUGUGGGCAUAGUGUGUCUUCGAAGCCACUAUGUUUUCUGCACUUGUGACUAGAGAGCACCUUGAUAGCUCAGUUGGUAGAGCGGUGGACUGUAAGAUGCUCCUUGUGUGAAACGCUGUGAUCCUAAGGUCGCUGGUUCAACUCCAGCCGGAAGCACCUCCUUGUCAUUGGAAAUACCCCCAAGCCUUGUCUUUAUCUGUCAACUCCUCCAAAAUGUAAAAACACAAACAAGAUAACUCUUUCUUAAAUUUUCAACCAUCAAUUUUUUAUUCACCCAGCCUAAAAGUCCUGAUUAUCAGUUCUGGGUCCCUGGCAAUGACUGUUGGGUACAAACUGCAAAGCUUUGUUCGUCAGGUAGGGCUGGGCUUUUCAUUGACCAUGGGUUGGAAUAGUUCUGUGGGCAUAGUGUGUCUUCGAAGCCACUAUGUUUUCUGCACUUGUGACUAGAGAGCACCUUGAUAGCUCAGUUGGUAGAGCGGUGGACUGUAAGAUGCUCCUUCUGUGAACACCGUGAUCCUAAGGUCGCUGGUUCAACUCCAGCCGGAAGCACCUCCUUGUCAUUGGAAAUACCCCAAAGCCUUGUCUUUAUUUGUCAACUCCUCCAAAAUGUAAAAACACAAACAAGGUAACUCUUUCUUAAAUUUUCAACCAUCAAUUUUUUAUUCACCCAGCCUAAAAGUCCUGAUUAUCAGUUCUGGGUCCCUGGCAAUGACUGUUGGGUACAAACUGCAAAGCUUUGUUCGUCAGGUAGGGCUGGGCUUUUCAUUGACCAUGGGUUGGAAUAGUUCUGUGGGCAUAGUGUGUCUUCGAAGCCACUAUGUUUUCUGCACUUGCGACUAGAGAGCACCUUGAUAGCUCAGUUGGUAGAGCAGUGGACUCUCAGAUGCUCCUUGUGUGAAACGCUGUGAUCCUAAGGUCGCUGGUUCAACUCCAGCCGGAAGCACCUCCUUGUCAUUGGAAAUACCCCCAAGCCUUGUCUUUAUCUGUCAACUCCUCCAAAAUGUAAAAACACAAACAAGUUAACUCUUUCUUAAAUUUUCAACCAUCAAUUUUUUAUUCACCCAGCCUAAAAGUCCUGAUUAUCAGUUCUGGGUCCCUGGCAAUGACUGUUGGGUACAAACUGCAAAGCUUUGUUCGUCAGGUAGGGCUGGGCUUUUCAUUGACCAUGGGUUGGAAUAGUUCUGUGGGCAUAGUGUGUCUUCGAAGCCACUAUGUUUUCUGCACUUGUGACUAGAGAGCACCUUGAUAGCUCAGUUGGUAGAGCGGUGGACUGUAAGAUGCUCCUUCUGUGAACACCGUGAUCCUAAGGUCGCUGGUUCAACUCCAGCCGGAAGCACCUCCUCGUCAUUGGAAAUACCCCAAAGCCUUGUCUUUAUCUGUCAACUCCUCCAAAAUGUAAAAACACAAACAAGAUAACUCUUUCUUAAAUUUUCAACCAUCAAUUUUUUAUUCACCCAGCCUAAAAGUCCUGAUGAUCAGUUCUGGGUCCCCGGCAAUGACUGUUGGGUACAAACUGCAAAGCUUUGUUCUGCAGGUAGGGCUGGGCUUUUCAUUGACCAUGGGUUGGAAUAGUUCUGUGGGCAUAGUGUGUCUUCGAAGCCACUAUGUUUUCUGCACUUGUGACUAGAGAGCACCUUGAUAGCUCAGUUGGUAGAGCGGUGGACUGUAAGAUGCUCCUUGUGUGAAACGCUGUGAUCCUAAGGUCGCUGGUUCAACUCCAGCCGGAAGCACCUCCUUGUCAUUGGAAAUACCCCCAAGCCUUGUCUUUAUCUGUCAACUCCUCCAAAAUGCAAAAACACAAACAAGAUAACUCUUUCUUAAAUUUUCAACCAUCAAUUUUUUAUUCACCCAGCCUAAAAGUCCUGAUUAUCAGUUCUGGGUCCCUGGCAAUGACUGUUGGGUACAAACUGCAAAGCUUUGUUCUGCAGGUAGGGCUGGGCUUUUCAUUGACCAUGGGUUGGAAUAGUUCUGUGGGCAUAGUGUGUCUUCGAAGCCACUAUGUUUUCUGCACUUGUGACUAGAGAGCCCCUUGAUAGCUCAGUUGGUAGAGCGGUGGACUGUAAGAUGCUCCUUGUGUGAAACGCUGUGAUCCUAAGGUCGCUGGUUCAACUCCAGCCGGAAGCACCUCCUUGUCAUUGGAAAUACCCCCAAGCCUUGUCUUUAUCUGUCAACUCCUCCAAAAUGUAAAAACACAAACAAGAUAACUCUUUCUUAAAUUUUCAACCAUCAAUUUUUUAUUCACCCAGCCUAAAAGUCCUGAUUAUCAGUUCUGGGUCCCUGGCAAUGACUGUUGGGUACAAACUGCAAAGCUUUGUUCGUCAGGUAGGGCUGGGCUUUUCAUUGACCAUGGGUUGGAAUAGUUCUGUGGGCAUAGUGUGUCUUCGAAGCCACUAUGUUUUCUGCACUUGUGACUAGAGAGCACCUUGAUAGCUCAGUUGGUAGAGCGGUGGACUGUAAGAUGCUCCUUGUGUGAAACGCUGUGAUCCUAAGGUCGCUGGUUGAACUCCAGCCAGAAGCACCUCCUCGUCAUUGGAAAUACCCCAAAGCCUUGUCUUUAUCUUUCAACUCCUCCAAAAUGUAAAAACACAAACAAGAUAACUCUUUCUUAAAUUUUCAACCAUCAAUUUUUUAUUCACCCAGCCUAAAAGUCCUGGUGAUCAGUUCUGGGUCCCUGGCAAUGACUGUUGGGUACAAACUGCAAAGCUUUGUUCGUCAGGUAGGGCUGGGCUUUUCAUUGACCAUGGGUUGGAAUAGUUCUGUGGGCAUAGUGUGUCUUCGAAGCCACUAUGUUUUCUGCACUUGUGACUAGAGAGCACCUUGAUAGCUCAGUUGGUAGAGCGGUGGACUGUAAGAUGCUCCUUGUGUGAAACGCUGUGAUCCUAAGGUCGCUGGUUCAACUCCAGCCGGAAGCACCUCCUUGUCAUUGGAAAUACCCCCAAGCCUUGUCUUUAUCUGUCAACUCCUCCAAAAUGUAAAAACACAAAAAAGAUAACUCUUUCUUAAAUUUUCAACCAUCAAUUUUUUAUUCACCCAGCCUAAAAGUCCUGAUUAUCAGUUCUGGGUCCCUGGCAAUGACUGUUGGGUACAAACUGCAAAGCUUUGUUCGUCAGGUAGGGCUGGGCUUUUCAUUGACCAUGGGUUGGAAUAGUUCUGUGGGCAUAGUGUGUCUUCGAAGCCACUAUGUUUUCUGCACUUGUGACUAGAGAGCACCUUGAUAGCUCAGUUGGUAGAGCGGUGGACUGUAAGAUGCUCCUUGUAUGAAACGCUGUGAUCCUAAGGUCGCUGGUUCAACUCCAGCCGGAAGCACCUCCUUGUCAUUGGAAAUACCCCCAAGCCUUGUCUUUAUCUGUCAACUCCUCCAAAAUGUAAAAACACACAAAAAAAAAACUCUUUCUUAAAUUUUCAACCAUCAAUUUUUUAUUCACCCAGCCUAAAAGUCCUAGUGAUCAGUUCUGGGUCCCUGGCAAUGACUGUUGGGUACAAACUGCAAAGCUUUGUUCGUCAGGUAGGGCUGGGCUUUUCAUUGACCAUGGGUUGGAAUAGUUCUGUGGGCAUAGUGUGUCUUCGAAUCCACUAUGUUUUCUGCACUUGUGACCAGAGAGCACCUUGAUAGCUCAGUUGGUAGAGCGGUGGACUGUAAGAUGCUCCUUGUGUGAAACGCUGUGAUCCUAAGGUCGCUGGUUCAACUCCAGCCGGCAGCACCUCCUUGUCAUUGGAAAUACCCCCAGGCCUUGUCUUUAUCUGUCAACUCCUCCAAAAUGUAAAAACACAAAAAAAAAAUCUUUCUUAAAUUUUCAACCAUCAAUUUUUUAUUCACCCACCCUUAAAGUCCUGAUGAUCAGUUCUGGGUCCCUGGCAAUGACUGUUGGGUACAAACUGCAAAGCUUUGUUCGUCAGGUAGGGCUGGGCUUUUCAUUGACCAUGGGUUGGAAUAGUUCUGUGGGCAUAGUGUGUCUUCGAAGCCACUAUGUUUUCUGCACUUGUGACUAGAGAGCACCUUGAUAGCUCAGUUGGUAGAGCGGUGGACUGUAAGAUGCUCCUUGUGUGAAACGCUGUGAUCCUAAGGUCGCUGGUUCAACUCCAGCCGGAAGCACCUCCUUGUCAUUGGAAAUACCCCCAAGCCUUGUCUUUAUCUGUCAACUCCUCCAAAAUGUAAAAACACACAAAAAAAAAAAUCUUUCUUAAAUUUUCAACCACCAAUUUUUUAUUCACCCAGCCUAAAAGUCCUGAUUAUUAGUUCUGGGUCCCUGGCAAUGACUGUUGGGUACACACUGCAAAGCUUUGUUCGUCAGGUAGGGCUGGGCUUUUCAUUGACCAUGGGUUGGAAUAGUUCUGUGGGCAUAGUGUGUCUUCGAAGCCACUAUGUUUUCUGCACUUGUGACUAGAGAGCAACUUGAUAGCUCAGUUGGUAGAGCGGUGGACUGUAAGAUGCUCCUUGUUUGAAACGCUGUGAUCCUAAGGUCGCUGGUUAAACUCCGGCUGGAAGCACCUCCUUGUCAUUGGAAAUACCCCCAACCCUUGUCUUUAUCUGUCAACUCCUCCAAAAUGUAAAAACACAAACAAGAUAACUCUUUCUUAAAUUUUCAACCAUCAAUUUUUUAUUCACCCAGCCUAAAAGUCCUGAUUAUCAGUUCUGGGUCCCUGGCAAUGACUGUUGGGUACAAACUGCAAAGCUUUGUUCGUCAGGUAGGGCUGGGCUUUUCAUUGACCAUGGGUUGGAAUAGUUCUGUGGGCAUAGUGUGUCUUCGAAGCCACUAUGUUUUCUGCACUUGUGACUAGAGAGCACCUUGAUAGCUCAGUUGGUAGAGCGGUGGACUGUAAGAUGCUCCUUGUGUGAAACGCUGUGAUCCUAAGGUCGCUGGUUCAACUCCAGCCGGAAGCACCUCCUUGUCAUUGGAAAUACCCGCAAGCCUUGUCUCUAUCUGUCAACUCCUCCAAAAUGCAAAAACACAAACAAGAUAACUCUUUCUUAAAUUUUCAACCAUCAAUUUUUUAUUCACCCAGCCUAAAAGUCCUGAUUAUCAGUUCUGGGUCCCUGGCAAUGGCUGUUGGGUACAAACUGCAAAGCUUUGUUCUGCAGGUAGGGCUGGGCUUUUCAUUGACCAUGGGUUGGAAUAGUUCUGUGGGCAUAGUGUGUCUUCAAAGCCACUAUGUUUUCUGCACUUGUGACUAGAGAGCACCUUGAUAGCUCAGUUGGUAGAGCGGUGGACUGUAAGAUGCUCCUUCUGUGAACACCUUGAUCCUAAGGUCGCUGGUUCAACUCCAGCCGGAAGCACCUCCUUGUCAUUGGAAAUACCCCCAAGCCUUGUCUUUAUUUGUCAACUCCUCCAAAAUGUAAAAACACAAACAAGGUAACUCUUUCUUAAAUUUUCAACCAUCAAUUUUUUAUUCACCCAGCCUAAAAGUCCUGAUUAUCAGUUCUGGGUCCCUGGCAAUGACUGUUGGGUACAAACUGCAAAGCUUUGUUCGUCAGGUAGGGCUGGGCUUUUCAUUGACCAUGGGUUGGAAUAGUUCUGUGGGCAUAGUGUGUCUUCGAAGCCACUAUGUUUUCUGCACUUGUGACUAGAGAGCACCUUGAUAGCUCAGUUUGUAGAGCAGUGGACUCUAAGAUGCUCCUUGUGUGAAACGCUGUGAUCCUAACGUCGCUGGUUCAACUCCAGCCGGAAGCACCUCCUUGUCAUUGGAAAUACCCCCAAGCCUUGUCUUUAUCUGUCAACUCCUCCAAAAUGUAAAAACACAAACAAGAUAACUCUUUCUUAAAUUUUCAACCAUCAAUUUUUUAUUCACCCAGCCUAAAAGUCCUGAUUAUCAGUUCUGAGUCCCUGGCAAUGACUGUUGGGUACAAACUGCAAAGCUUUGUUCGUCAGGUAGGGCUGGGCUUUUCAUUGACCAUGGGUUGGAAUAGUUCUGUGGGCAUAGUGUGUCUUAGAAGCCACUAUGUUUUCUGCACUUGUGACUAGAGAGCACCUUGAUAGCUCAGUUGGUAGAGCAGUGGACUGUAAGAUGCUGCUUGUGUGAAACGCUGUGAUCCUAAGGUCGCUGGUUCAACUCCAGCCGGAAGCACCUCCUUGUCAUUGGAAAUACCCCCAAGCCUUGUCUUUAUCUGUCAACUCCUCCAAAAUGUAAAAACACAAACAAGUUAACUCUUUCUUAAAUUUUCAACCAUCAAUUUUUUAUUCACCCAGCCUAAAAGUCCUGAUUAUCAGUUCUGGGUCCCUGGCAAUGACUGUUGGGUACAAACUGCAAAGCUUUGUUCGUCAGGUAGGGCUGGGCUUUUCAUUGACCAUGGGUUGGAAUAGUUCUGUGGGCAUAGUGUGUCUUCGAAGCCACUAUGUUUUCUGCACUUGUGACUAGAGAGCACCUUGAUAGCUCAGUUGGUAGAGCGGUGGACUGUAAGAUGCUCCUUGUGUGAAACGCUGUGAUCCUAAGUUCGCUGGUUCAACUCCAGCCAGAAGAACCUCCUUGUCAUUGGAAAUACCCCCAAGCCUUGUCUUUAUCUGUCAACUCCUCCAAAAUGUAAAAACACACACACAAAAAAAAUCUUUAUUAAAUUAUCAACCAUCAAUUUUUUAUUCACCCAGCCUAAAAGUCCUGAUUAUCAGUUCUGGGUCCCUGGCAAUGACUGUUGGGUACAAACUGCAAAGCUUUGUUCGUCAGGUAGGGCUGGGCUUUUCAUUGACCAUGGGUUGGAAUAGUUCUGUGGGCAUAGUGUGUCUUCGAAGCCACUAUGUUUUCUGCACUUGUGACUAGAGAGCACCUUGAUAGCUCAGUUGGUAGAGCGGUGGACUGUAAGAUGCUUCUUGUGUGAAACGCUGUGAUCCUAAGGUCGCUGGUUCAACUCCAGCCGUUAGCACCUCCUUGUCAUUCGAAAAACCCGCAAGCCUUGUCUUUAUCUGUCAACUCCUCCAAAAUGUAAAAACACAAACAAGAUAACUCUUUCUUAAAUUUUCAACCAUCAAUUUUUUAUUCACCCAGCCUAAAAGUCCUGAUUAUCAGUUCUGGGUCCCUGGCAAUGACUGUUGGGUACAAACUGCAAAGCUUUGUUCGUCAGGUAGGGCUGGGCUUUUCAUUGACCAUGGGUUGGAAUAGUUCUGUGGGCAUAGUGUGUCUUCGAAGCCACUAUGUUUUCUGCACUUGUGACUAGAGAGCCCCUUGAUAGCUCAGUUGGUACAGCCGUGGACUGUAAAAUGCUCCUUGUGUGAAACGCUGUGAUCCUAAGGUCGCUGGUUCAACUCCAGCCGGAAGCACCUCCUUGUCAUUGGAAAUACCCGCAAGCCUUGUCUUUAUCUGUCAACUCCUCCAAAAUGUAAAAACACAAACAAGAUAACUCUUUCUUAAAUUUUCAACCAUCAAUUUUUUAUUCACCCAGCCUAAAAGUCCUGAUUAUCAGUUCUGGGUCCCUGGCAAUGACUGUUGGGUACAAACUGCAAAGCUUUGUUCGUCAGGUAGGGCUGGGCUUUUCAUUGACCAUGGGUUGGAAUAGUUCUGUGGGCAUAGUGUGUCUUCGAAGCCACUAUGUUUUCUGCACUUGUGACUAGCGAGCACCUUGAUAGCUCAGUUGCAUAGAGCGGUGGACUGUAAGAUGCUCCUUGUGUGAAACGCUGUGAUCCUAAGGUCGCUGGUUCAACUCCAGCCGGAAGCA